AACUUAAAGGAAUUGACGGGGCCGCACAAGCGGAGGAACAUGUGGUUUAAUUCGAUGAUACGCGAGGAACCUUACCUGGGCUUAAAUGCAGAGUGCAUGAAGUGGAAACACUUCUUCCCUUCGGGGCUCUUUGCAAGGUGCUGCAUGGUUGUCGUCAGCUCGUGCCGUGAGGUGUCGGGUUAAGUCCCAUAACGAGCGCAACCCUUAUCGUUAGUUGCCAGCGGGUAAAGCCGGGAACUCUAGCGAAACUGCCGGUGUAAACCGAGAGGAAGGUGGGAUGACGUCAAAUCAGCACGGCCCUUAUGUCCAGGGCUACACACGUGUUACAAUGGCCGGUACAGAGGGCAGCUACCUGGAGACAGGAUGCGAAUCUCGAAAGCCGGUCUCAGUUCGGAUCGGAGUCUGCAACUCGACUCCGUGAAGCUGGAUUCGCUAGUAAUCGCGCAUCAGCCAUGGCGCGGUGAAUACGUUCCCGGGCCUU
rnacentral:rRNA from 1 species